CUGAAAUGAUGACACCGGUCAACCCCAGACCAAGAGUUACUCCCGCCCCAACUCUACAGUUUGGGGGGAUACAGAGGAAGGGAGGGAACGAGCGUGUUCAAGGGAGAACGAUAAUAGACAAAGUUACAGAAAACGCAUUCAAAGCCUGAAAAAUGAAGAAAAGGAAAAAGCAUUCCUGAUACUGUGGCCGGAUCUACUGCAUACGAGGAAAACAGAGGUGGUCUCCGGUACCGCAGGAGCCUCAGCAUUUCAUGGGAAGCCUUCUCCUUCAGCCUCCUGAAAGCUCUGUCUGCAGCUGAGAAACUGAAGCUCUGCCUCCAUACAGUAGCCCAGGAAUCAUCCCCAGAGCCUACCCAGUAACUGACCUUCACAGUGACCUGAGGAAUCGGGUGAACAAGUAUUGUAGAAGACAACCUUGCACAAGAUAAGAUGGGUGAAGAUGGAGAGUACUAAGGCUCUUCCUGCUUCAAGAGGAACAAACACGAAAUGAAAUGAAAAUAGAUGUUUUUGUCUGCAUGAGAAGACCGUGUGUAAGAGGGGAAAAAUUACCACGUACAAAGGCAACCCAUAAUAGGACAACGAUCACGACUUUCCAGAUAGGAGGGCCUUUAAAGAUAUCCAUUAGACGUGGACCUGACUGUAUUUUUGGGUGGUCUAUUUUAAUUAACUGUCUUCAUAUCUUGAAGGUUCUGUAACUAAUUGGCAAAAUAAUUAGUGAAGUGACUUCACCGGGAAAAGAAGUAGUCCUGUAUGCCCACAGCAGUUCUUGCACAUGUGCAGUACUGAGAGAGUGGCCAAUUCACCAGUAGUUUCAUGUGUUCCUCAGAGGGAUCCAGUCACGCUGCCCUUGGCUGCUGUGCGAAUGGCCAAUAAGUCACAAUUGUUAACAAAAAUAUGAACACGCACACAUUGGCACAUUCUGCAUACUUCAGCUGUCUUAUUUUAGCCAAGAGGAGAUUUGAUCAUUUGAAAUGGUCUGUUCUGCAUAAUACGUUCUGUUUUGAAAGGGGGCUUGUUAGUUAGAAGUGCAGUGGCUACUCAGGAGAUGGGCACCAUUACCACAUCACAGAUCUGCCACAAGCUAGAUGGAAACAUGCUUGGCAGCAGACCCAGAAAAAGCUGAAAGAGAAAUGCAAUGCUGUAACCAGUUGCAGCUGGCUUGGUUAAGACUGCAUUAAAUGAACUGAAACUUUGGAACCCCCUUCUCAUGGGCCGUAGGGCAAGCUGGUUUUCAAAGUAGCUGGGUGCGCAGGAAAAGAAGGCUGCACCCGAGCAGAUGAUCAUGGGAAUCUGAAGGCAGGAUGCUAUAGAUAAAAGCAUACUAGAGCCAGAGCCACUGUCACACAGUUUAGCACUGAAUCAUAUUGAACAAGUUAAGCAAAAUCUGUCUCUCUUUGGAGAACUAUGCCAAGCACUGCCCACUUCUGAGCAGUUCAACUCACUUUCCUAGAAUCACUUUCUACAAGUUGUCAGUUAUCUGUCUCUUGCUAUCACACUUCAGAGAGCAGGCACCAAAAGUGUGCAAAGACAGAGGGCAUACACCAAGUACCGUGUACCCCAGAGACAUACUUCUGAUUGUGAAGAAUCAAAACACAAUGCACACUGGAUGAACAGAAACUCCCAUUAGUUUUUAAAAUCAACCUGCUACUCUGUCACAAGUAUGUUCCUACCAUCUAUGACACUGCCACAAAGUCUGGAUUUGUCAGCGGGAGAUAUCUCUCAUUAUCUCCAUGUAUCUAUGUGAGUUCAUACACGUACACAAGUAAAAGAGUACCUGGUUGAAUUUCACCCCAGACUUGUAUCAGAAAAGGAAUAAAAUUAAAAGGUUGCUUUUCAAAACAAAGAGAACUAGAUUUUUCAAGGGUUAGUGAGUAGCUAACACUGCAUUCUGCAGGCGUGAUGAUCGCAGCGUGGCAUCUACCUCUAGCGCCACUUUCAGCAAUCACAUUUCACAGUAAUACUGAGAUGGAAAUGAACAACAGGACUGAGUGCCUGGUGGAGGAAGCCCUGCAUAGUGAAUUAAGUGCCACUCUACAUUAUUCCACCCUGUUGGGAAGCCAAUAAGGGUCAGGCACUCCCAUCAUCGGGAAAGUGAAGGGGUUACCUGAACAUCCUGGAUGGGCAGAGCUCAUAACUCAGACCAAAACUGAAACCAAAUGAAACAAUCGUAAGCAUCAAUAAUGGAAUAAAGCAGGGGGGAAAAAAAAAGUUCUGUAUAAGUCAUUUCAUGUAGAAGUAUACUUCCUCUGCAACUAUACUGGCAAUAAAAACUGCAGUUCCAUCACAGGACCAGAAAAUGCUGCCAGGGUCUUGAAAUAUUUAGACUUUAAAGAAAGACUGAAGUGUAGCACUACUAUUAAGAGAUAGGAGCAUGUCGUACAGAGAGCCUGAGACAGCUAGGAUCACUCAGCCUGGAGGGAACAGCUUGGUGGGAUCUUUUCAUGUGUAUACAACCUGAGGGUGGGGAACAGAGAAGAUAAAGCCAGGCUCUUCUCAGAGGUGCCCUGUGGAGAAGCGGCAAAGGUACAGAUUGGAACACAGUAAAUCCCAUUUAAACAAUAUAAAACCCCACACUUUUUUACUGUGCUGCAGUGGUCUUGUACUCACACAGGUUGCUCCACAGAUAGCUUAUGGAAUCUUCAUCCCUGGAGAAAUUCAAAAGCCUCCUGUACAGAGAAUCACAGAGUCCUGAGAUGGAAGGGACCACAAGGAUCUUCAAGUCCAACUCCUGGUUCCACAGCGGACCACCAAAAUUCAAACCCUAAGUCUGAGAGCACUGUCCCAAAUGCUCCCUGAACACCGGCAGCAUGGGGCUGUGACCACUGCCUUGGGAAGCCUGACCAUCCUCGCAGUGAAGAAUCUUUUCCCCAACCUGACUGUACCCUGAUGUAGCUCCACGCCAUUCCCUUGGAUCCUGCUGCUGUCACCAGAGCAGAGCUCAGUGCUGUCCCUCUGCUCCAUGUGAGGAGCUGCAUGCUGCCAUGAAACCCGUCCUCAGCCUCUGCUCUUGGCUGAACAAACCAAGAGACCUCAGCUGCUCCUCAUACAACUUGCCCUCCACACCCUUCAGUGUAUUCAUAGUCCUCUCUAAUAGCUUUAUGUCCUUCUUAUAUUGUGGUGCCCAAAACUGCAUACAGGUUAAGCUGCACUAGUGGAAAGCAGAAGGAGACAUGGUCUUUAACAGCCCACUGAUCCUGCCCUGAGCACCAAAGUUGAAUUAGAUAAUCACCAGAGGUCUCUUCCUACCUCAAGCAUCCUGUGUUUCCUCUCAAAAAUAACAGUCCAGAGGUUCUGCUGCUGUGAAUGUGCAAGAAAAUUGAUAGCUUGUAAUUGUACUCUUAACUCCUAGCUUUCCUUUAAACAUUGUGGUAUUUAGGACUGUGAAAAAAGCCUUCAUAAGGUGAACAGAAGAUUAUCUAUAAUGGGAAGUUAGAGGGUUUUCUGCAGAUGGAAGCAAACAACUGUAAGAAGGUGUGAAUUGUUCUAAUUAACUCCAUGGGCACAUAGCUGGAAAACUAUACAGUGGCAAUUUAAAUGCCAACAUUUCAUUGUCAAGCACUUCAACAGAAAUCCUUAGGGUCUGUACAUUUCACAGUCCCCUAAGGCCUAGCACAUUUUCCAGGGUGACAACAGUGCCACAGAAAUCAAAAUCAAAACCUUGAGGUCUCCUUUCUACAGUGCAGGUACAGUGAUCUCAGGAACAACACCGGUUAAGGUAAUAAUAGGAAGUCUGGCAGCAUACUAGGUGAGGCCAAGGGAAAAAAAUCAUUAGCAACUUAAGGAGAAAGGGAAACUGUAGCCAGAUUCACUCUAAUUUCAGGUCUGUUUCAUUAAAACUCUGGAUGCCUUAACUAACCUAGAGAUUACCCAAAAUUCAGACCUAGUUGCAAUAAAUGGAUGCAGAAGUUCAGCUUGCUGCAGAGCAGAGGAGGCCACAAUCACAGCACAAAUACUACCAGAAAUACAACAUAUGAAAUGGGAACAUUUGUAGGUUGGACAGUCACAUAUGCAGGAUUACCUUAAAAAGGGAGAUUAGGCAUGAAGAAAUGCAUGGGAACUGCAGAAUCAUGGCCUGAACCUCUGAUUGAUCACCUGAGAUGAACACUGACUCAGCCACGAGAGCACAGGUGAAGGCAAUUCACCUGUGCUGCAGGAAUGGGUGGAGCCCGGCUGCACUUCUCCUAGACCCAUUUAAGAGCUGAUUGCCAGCGGGGAGGGAUCUCUUCAGGAGAUCCAUUCUGGGGGAGUUUUGUAAGUGAGCCCAGGAUAUUGGUAAGCAUCCUGUCUUUUCUGCUUUGGUAUAAUAACUGCGUAGCCAAGCUCUCUAGCAUCAUAACUAUAACAUCUAUACAUUCAUCGACUGGACAAGAAACAUGCAAGCUGCUUCAUUCUAAAGAAUGUGAUACCUAUGCAACCUAACGAGCUUAAUUAUUUAACUCAUUAAAUUAAAACUCCGAACAUUCAGGAGGUAUUUUCAACUACAGUCACAGAUGAAAGUAAAAAAAGCAGUCGCAGCUGUAUACAAGGUAAGUUAAACACCAAAGUUUCACAGAGCUGGAAGAUAUUUCUCUUUACCCUGCUCAGAUCCCAGCAUUCUCACAAACUACCAGAAAAAGAGAUUAGCCCACUAGAUCCCCUAAUUCUGCUUACAAGGUGCCCACUUAGAUGCUGGUCCCACUGCGUUGGAGAACGCGCACAGAUGUGGCCGUGAGAGCAGGCAGAUUUGUCCUUUUAGUUAUUAAAGCUACUGUAGAAUUGCCACUUUAGAGAGAAGUAGAAGGAGGGUGUGAGCAUGAAGAGAACAGGAAAAAGCAUUCUGUAGAUAUAAACAUAUAUGAAUGGCUGUUACACGUUUUAAUAUUAUGCCACUAACUGCAUUAGCAGUAAAAAUACAACUGAUAACAUUCUUACACAGUUCCCAAAUUUAUUAUUAUUUUUUUUUUUUACUGAUCUAUACAACUGAUAUAAUACUAGCUUUUCAGCAUUUCUGAAGAGGGAGCAGAGGCUAUCUAUCAUCUUACAGGUCCCUGAAGAGCACAGAGACAGUGUGACAGGAGAUGCUCUGAUGCCUUUUAGAAAUGGAACUUGUGGACAAAAGCUAUAUUUACUUUAUUUCAUUAAAAUAAAUACUAGUGGUAAAAUUAGGUCUUGCACCAGUGGAUGGAAUUCAGAGUCAGGACUAUUUGUGGACUACAAGACCCAAAAAUCUAUGUCUUCCAAUUCCAGAUGUCUAUCUAUUUAAUCCACAUGAGAUUCAUUUAUCACAAUCAAAAUAACAAUUUGGAAAGUCAUAGUAAAUUUUCACGAAACGAUGGAAUUAAAAAUAUAUAUAUUUCAUUUCAGAUUGCUAAUGAGUACGUCAAAUCAACGUGAGGCAAGCAACAUCGCUUUGUGGACAGUUCUACAUUUGAAAGCAUUUCCUUGGAGUUGUUUGCCUUCAAAAGGGAGCAUCAAGGAGUGUUUAUUGGCUCAAGACUUGGCCCGGGAGAAAAUGAAAGUAUUGCAUCUUGUGAAGGCAAGACAGCUGGCCUCUCCCUGCUACCUCUCAUCUCCUGACUUAAAUUUGCAGUUUUGGAAGACAGGAACAAAGGAGUUCCAGAUGAAAUACCAAAGCCAGAAGCUGUCACUCCAAAAGAACAGGCUUACUCACUUUGGACUAUAAGUAAGAGUUUGUACUGUCAUUGUAUUUGUCAAGUGAACAACAGAAGUUCCAACAACCCAUCGCUACUGCAGAUCAGCACCUAGCACCAAGACAUCGCUGGAUCCAGGAGUGGUGAGGCACUUUGCUUUGCUCUGUUUAGACAUCUGGCUGGCUGGCCCUCUUUCCCCAUUUUCUAUCAUUUUUUUCCCUCUUCUUUUACUCUUUGAAGUAGCCAUUGCCUAAUAUUGUCUUACCUGUAAUGCUUAUUAAUCAUAAUUAGCAAAUUAGCCAAUUUUACUUCCAAGUACAGUACUAGCUGUUGUAAAGAAAGCUGUCAGAAAUCUGAUUGUGCAUUAUUCCUCCAAGUCUUGGGUGUCUCCACUGUGGUAGUGAUCCCUGCUGACUAGGGGAGGUGCGACUUAGGAGACAGAAAAAGAUUCACCACCCUCACACUCUACUGUGUGUGACCAGACUAUUAUCUAUAGAUUCAACUGUUUCACUGCUGCACGUUGGCAAUAUAAGUGAAGGAGAGCAGAAGUUUCUUUCUUUCUUUCUUUCUUGAGAAAACAAUGAAAUGUUGUUAUACUACAUGCAGAUAGGCGUGGAGAAAAAGAUACUCCCCAAGCCCAUGGUGUUGGAGUCUUUGACAAUAUUCAUAAAUUACUGAAAAAGAAAUAGUGAAUGUCACCUGGAUUUCGUGAAGGCAGGUUUGAUUUACAGAAUGAGUCAGUGAGGUAGUGGAAAACUAUUAAAACACAUUAAAGAUUGGCUAAGGGUCAGGAACACCAGCAUAAGAUCAAGUAUUUAAUUUAUCUAGAGAUUUGGACUGAACUACAUCGUCUGGCUUACAGAUGGACUGUUUUCUGUCAAAAGAAACCAGUCAUUUAAAGCAAGGGAUAAAAAUGCCCUUUUAAAGCAACUGUUUGAAAAGAAUAUUUUCAUUUCUUCUCCCUACACUUUGCUAAGUCAAAAAAGGUAACUUAUUUAAUUCAUUGUUGCUCUUCUUAAGGGAAAAGGCCGAAACUACUGAAUUGUUUUGAAUGUGUUUUUGCAUUGGUUGCAGCUUUGAUUCUAUUGUAAUUUUGGGGCAAACUGUGUUUGAUGUGGGCAAUAUUUCAAUAUUUAUUUGAAUUGUUGAGCAAAAGUGAACUUACACGGAUUGUAGUAGCAAUCCAAAAUAGUCUAUACAUCUGCAAUUAACUUUGUAUGCUUACUAAACUACAAAACACUUUAGGAAGGAAGGAGAGUAGUUUGCCAAGUCUAUCCAAUACUUUUGAACUAUAGGAAAUCGCUUUAUUUCCUUCUCAAAUUAUUAACAGUUCACCACAGAUUAUCAGGGAGUUAUCAUUACUUCUGCUGGACCGCUGAGUCCCUUCUGACAGCCGUGGAAAUUUCUUUUCCUUGGUUACCAGACUUAAAAGCUGCUAACUACUUAUUCUACAAAUCGUGCUAACUAUUUAUCCUGCCUGUGAUACUGCUGCUGAUCAGGAUUACAUCACCUUUAUCUCAGGCUCUUACUCCCUCCCUAAGUGCCCCAAUCAGCGCAUUGCUUUCACUCAUCUUUUAAUUAGUCUUUCCUAAUUAUUUCAUACUCUUCAAGGAUUCUGUAUACUCAGUGCCCUACCAAGUGUGCUCUUCCUCUAAAAUUCCUCAUCUUGCAAUUUCCUAAUAAACUGACUAUUUAGAGAAUUGGAUUGCACUAAGAAGGAAAGCACUAGGCUGAAGGGCUGCUACCGUGUGGACUGACAGACUGAACCGUGGACUAACCAUACCUAAAAAUCCUCCUUAGUAUCUUCAGCAUGAAAAAACAGCAGAAAUAUGCAGAAAUUUCAGUGUACUAAAGAAAUAUUUUUGACAGCUACAAUAGCAAGCGAUACUAUUCAAAUUAGAAGGUCAUAUACUUAUGAAGUUGCAAGAAGAACUGCUCUUACAUGCUGUAGAAUCAUGAGCUGAAAAUAUUAAGGGAGAAGAAAACCUUGUUAGUAUUUGAUUAGUAAAUGAAUUGCAAGUCAUCAGAGUGUGGAGUUAAAAACCGUGAUUAAUCGAGGGAGGUAUUUCCAAUAUACAUAAAGAAGAUUUCAUGCCAUGGAAGAAAGUAAUUUGUAAGAUCUUCUGCAAAGUAGCACAUAUAGUUCUGACUGCACAUAUUUGCAUAAAUUAAUUUCCCUAAACAGGGGCAGAAAAAGGCUAUGAUGGUGGUCAAGGAAUGGAAUCUCUGUCAUAUUAACACAAACUAAAAGAUGUUGACUGGCUUACUUGUCCAAAAAUCAAGACCAGAUUAAGGGGGCACAAGGUAGCAUAUCAAAUAAGCCCACAAAAGGGAAGAAUUAUCACAGCUGAAGGACAGCAUUUGGUAGAAGAUAAACAGUAGAACUUGCUUUGAGUAAAUUCUGGUUGAGGGUGGUCCAGCUCUUACCAAGAGUGAGCUUCUGAAACAGUGUUCUUGUACAAAUAGUAAGGACAACAGAUUUUAAACAGAGCUUGAUAAAUAAAUGACUGAUAUUACAUGAAGUUGUUACCUAUUAUAAAAAAGAAUUGAACUUGAUACAUGAGAUACCUGUUCUAUGUUCCUGUCACUUUUCCCAAUUCCUCUUCUGCUUGGGUGCCAAGAAGACUGCACGCAGAAAGCUUCCAAGAGUCUAGGGAUACAGCCAUUUGCAUUGGCGCUCUCUCUUGCAAAGAGGCGGGUACAUGACGUUCCACCAAGGUCACCCAGACCAGCCUGCAGGAAAGGCUUCCUUUCCUCAUGCUGCUAUGCCUGCUUGAGUCACAUCUCUCCAUAGCCAGUGCACAGCAACAGCUCAGCCCCACACUUGUUCAUCAGCCCCCACUAAUUCUGGUGACGGUGAUACAGCCUGGCAUUCUUGGAUGUGGGAUUUGGAUACUGCUUGCUGAAUGCUGCUGGCUGUUGGCAGUUGAUUUGUUGUAUUUUAGUAGAUGAGCUGAAUUAAUUGUCAUUUUGUAUGCUGUUCACUUCUCUUACUAUCCUAUUUCAGAGAUGAAAUAAAACAGAUCUCAACUGAAGGCACGCAUUUAUCCACUUGAUCCCACAUAGACAUUUCCACAGCGUUUUCUGUUACAUCCUGUUGGCUUUUACAUGGUUUGUUACUGCUCCUUUAUGCUACUCUCGGCAGGGAUUAAACUUUGUCUGAGCUAGCCAUAGCACCUCAGAGAUAAUUUCUUCCUGUAAGGCUGGAACUAAUAGAAAAUCUGUGGGUAUUCUACUGUUAUUUUACAUGAAUAUCACAUUUGUAAUCAAUUUUAAAAAAUCCAAUAACAUUCCUGAUGCUACUGUGAAAUUUCUGUUCAGGUUCAAGAUUUUUUUUUACGAAGCUGAGAAAGUGCAUGAUAGUGUUGUUCCAAAUAAAUAGCUUUAUAUAUUUUCAGUUUUCUCUAUAUGUACUGCUAUUACGUAUAUUAUGUAAUAAUAAUCACAGAGCAGUAAGUGUUGCAACUCACAGACCCAUCCAGUUAUGACUCACAUUUCAUGAAGCAGAAUACCAGGAAUCACAAACAUGCAAAAAAACAUCUCCUCAACACCCAUUUUAACACUCCAGGAUCUCCUAACCAACUAGGUAUUUCACGUCUCUUAGGCUUGAGGUAAAACAUGUCACCAAAACCCAUCUGUAGGUUUAAAGGCCCUCACUUAAGGUCUUAUAGAGAAUUAGAAUUCUGAUGCAUCCAUCUCUGUACGAUGUGAGAACAUGAUUGCUAGAUGCCACAUCCUCUGACGUACUGAGCACUGCCGGAGGAGCCCUAGAGUUCUUGUCUGUCAUCUGGCUCUACGAAUAUGCUAUGUUAUGGCACUGUCAAAAGCCAGCAUUGAAGUGCUAAAUUUGGUUUACAUUUUAGUACUUAAAAGUGUAAUUGUUUCUCUUAGUCGUGGUUUACAAAAACCGCUGCAUCUGAGAGAAAGCAUGGUGGGGAUAGCCUGAAGACUCUUGUUCUUAUGCUACAAUUUUUAUUUCUUUUCUGCCAUGCGUAUUUACCCUUAGCCAACAUCUAGUUCUUCACCUCAUCUGCCACAUCAGAAGCUGUCAAAUGACUAUUCAAGCAUUAAAAAAAAGAAGGGUCUGUUAAGUUGUAAAUUAAGUGACAGUCUAGAGCUGAAAAUUAGCAGUAACAUGCCCAAAACUUUAUUGAUGGCUAAGGAAAGGUGAAUAACCCCCACUACGGCUGGCUGUGUAAUUACUGACCUUUAGAACUCAAGAGCUAUUAAUUUAAGACCAGAUACCAGUGAACUAGCAAACGAAAUAUUUUGCAGCAGGACAGUAAAAGCACAUACCGAGUUUGUGCAUAUAUUCAGUGCCACCUUGGAAGAUAAUGAUAUUCAUCUGCCUUUUCUGUUUUAACUAAGAAUAUAACCCAGGUUAUAUCUGGAUAUAAAAUGACCGUCAGCUAGUUCUGAAGACCAGUAGGACUGCAUCCACAGAUACUAAGGCUUUUCAGUACGUUGCAAGAAAUGCACAUCUUUCCAAAUGGGUUCUUAAAUAACUGCUAAAGGCAAGAAAACUGCAUUGCCAGUCUCAGCCAUUCCGAUAAAUAUAUUGUGAACAUUUCAUCUAUACUGUGAGAGACGGAACAGCAAGUAACAGGAAAAGAGCAGGUAGUUAUCAGACGUCAGUUCCUUUAAAUGUGGGACUCACGUGAACACAAAACCCCACCUCCGUUAACACUGCUGUAUUUCAUCUGUUAUAUGGACUUUCUGUCCUUUAACAGUUCACAGAAAUAGUUGCUCAAAAAGAAUUAACAAAAAUAAUUCAGCAGCAUUUAACUUUUCUUCUUAAUAGUAAGCGUUUACUGUGAUGGAAACAGUUGUCCGUUGACAAAGCAACUGCAUUUUAAGAGCAGUGGUCAAGCGGUGAUGUUGACAGUAAGAAAAUAACAAUAAUUAAAAAAACUAUGAACUAAAAAAACCAACAACUUAGGAACUAAUGAAGAAGAAGGUGUCUGACCUGGUGC